rnacentral:rRNA from 1 species
AUUGAACGCUGGCGGCAGGCCUAACACAUGCAAGUCGAGCGGAUGAAGGGAGCUUGCUCCUGGAUUCAGCGGCGGACGGGUGAGUAAUGCCUAGGAAUCUGCCUGGUAGUGGGGGAUAACGUCCGGAAACGGGCGCUAAUACCGCAUACGUCCUGAGGGAGAAAGUGGGGGAUCUUCGGACCUCACGCUAUCAGAUGAGCCUAGGUCGGAUUAACUAGUUGGUGGGGUAAAGGCCUACCAAGGCGACGAUCCGUAACUGGUCUGAGAGGAUGAUCAGUCAAAAUUGAACUGAGGCCCGGUCCCGGCUCCUAAGGGAAGCAGCAGUGGGGAAUAUUUGACCAUGGGCGGAAACCUGGUCCAGGCCGUACGGCUGUGUGAAAGAAGUCUUCCGAGUUUUAAGCACUUUUAGUUGGGAGAAAAAACAGUAAGUUAAAUCCUUGCUUUUUUGGCGGUUACCAAAAAAAAAAGCACGGCUUACUUCGUU